GGAGGGAUGGCAGAGCGGGCGAUUGCGGCGGUCUUGAAAACCGCUAGGGGGAGACCCCUCGGGAGUUCGAAUCUCCCUCCCUCCGCCA
rnacentral:tRNA from 1 species